rnacentral:rRNA from 1 species
GAUGAACGCUGGCGGCGUGCCUAAUACAUGCAAGUCGAGCGAACAGACGAGGAGCUUGCUCCUCUGAUGUUAGCGGUGGACGGGUGAGUAACACGUGGAUAACCUACCUAUAAGACUGGGAUAACUUCGGGAAACCGGAGCUAAUACCGGAUAACAUGUUGAACCGCAUGGUUCAACAGUGAAAGACGGUCUUGCUGUCACUUAUAGAUGGAUCCGCGCCGCAUUAGCUAGUUGGUAAGGUAACGGCUUACCAGGGCAACGAUGCGUAGCCGACCUGAGAGGGUGAUCGGCCACACUGGAACUGAGACACGGUCCAGACUCCUACGGGAGGCAGCAGUAGGGAAUCUUCCGCAAUGGGCGGAAGCCUGACGGAGCAACGCCGCGUGAGUGAAGAAGGUCUUCGGAUCGUAAAACUCUGUUAUUAGGGAAGAACAAAUGUGUAAGUAACUAUCCACGUCUUGACGGUACCUAAUCAGAAAGCCACGGCUAACUACGUG